rnacentral:misc_RNA from 1 species
UCCGAGUUGACCCCGGCAGUCUCCCAUGAGUCCCCACCAUUACGUGCUGGCAACAUGGAACGAGGGUUGCGCUCGUUGCGGGACUUAACCCAACACCUCACGGCACGAGCUGACGACAACCAUGCACCACCUGUGUACGGCCCCUAAGGACACCACAUCUCUGUGGCUUUUCCGUACAUUUCAAGCCUUGGUAAGGUUCUUCGCGUUGCUUCGAAUUAAGCCACAUGCUCCACCGCUUGUGCGGGCCCCCGCCAAUUCCUUUGAGUUUUAGUCUUGCGACCGUAGUUCCCAGGCGGUU